rnacentral:rRNA from 1 species
CACGUAGGGUGCGAGCGUUGUCCGGAAUUAUUGGGCGUAAAGAGCUCGUAGGCGGUGUGUCGCGUCGGCCGUGAAAACCUGCAGCUUAACUGUGGGCUUGCGGUCGAUACGGGCAUCACUGGAGUUCGGCAGGGGAGACUGGAAUUCCCGGUGUAGCGGUGAAAUGCGCAGAUAUCGGGAGGAACACCAAUGGCGAAGGCAGCUCGCUGGGACGUUACUGACGCUGAGGCGCGAAAGCGUGGGGAGCAAACAGG